GAUGUACGCUGGCGGCGUGCCUAAUACAUGCAAGUCGAGCGAACGGACGAGAAGCUUGCUUCUCUGAUGUUAGCGGCGGACGGGUGAGUAACACGUGGAUAACCUACCUAUAAGACUGGGAUAACUUCGGGAAACCGGAGCUAAUACCGGAUGAUAUUUUGAACCGCAUGGUUCAAAUGUGAAAGACGGUCUUGCUGUCACUUAUAGAUGGAUCCGCGCUGCAUUAGCUAGUUGGUAAGGUAACGGCUUACCAAGGCAACGAUGCAUAGCCGACCUGAGAGGGUGAUCGGCCACACUGGAACUGAGACACGGUCCAGACUCCUACGGGAGGCAGCAGUAGGGAAUCUUCCGCAAUGGGCGAAAGCCUGACGGAGCAACGCCGCGUGAGUGAUGAAGGUCUUCGGAUCGUAAAACUCUGUUAUUAGGGAAGAACAUAUGUGUAAGUAACUGUGCACAUCUUGACGGUACCUAAUCAGAAAGCCACGGCUAACUACGUG
rnacentral:rRNA from 1 species